rnacentral:rRNA from 1 species
AUGUGGACCAUGCUGCCCGAGCACCAUAACUUCACUCUCCUCGUAUGCUCUCAUUGUGAAAACUCAUUUUUUUUGUUGGUCUUUAUUGGUGGGUCUCAACAACAACAAACUUGUGCUUGUUGCAGCUGUUGCUUAUUGUUGAUGUACCGGAGUCUCGGCAACCUGGAUGAAAGUCUUUGUCUUGGCAGUCCCAAGGGUUCUGUGAUGUCCCAAGGGUUCUGUGAUAAGUAUGAAAGAUUAAUCCGUAAUUUUUGGUGGGGGGAGGAAAACGGGCACCGGAAAGUGCAUUGGAUGUCAUGGGAGCGAAUGACCAAACCCAAAAGAGGGGGAGGAAUUGGAUUUAGAUAUAUGAAACUAUUCAACCAAGCCUUGUUAGCAAGACAAGCUUGGAGACUGAUCCAGAGACCGGAUAGUCUUUGCGCACGUGUUCUCAAAUCCAAGUACUAUCCGCAUGAAGAACUGAUUGACACGGUUUUUGCGUCUGAAGCAUCACCGGUAUGGCGUGGGAUUGAGUAUGGACUCGAACUGCUCAAGGCUGGCCUCAUUUGGAGGGUCGGGGACGGAAGAAAGAUAAACAUCCAAAGAGAUAAGUGGAUCCCGCGCAAGGAAGGGCUCAAGACUGCAAACUUUAUUCGGCGCUCCAGGUUAAGAUGGGUUAACCAGUUGAUGUUGGCUGAUGGCAGUGGGUGGAAUUCGGACCUAGUUAAGCAACUGUUCUACCCUUUCGACGCUGAAGAAAUCUGCAACAUCAAGGUACCGAGGGCAGGUGGCAGGGACGUCCUGGCUUGGCACUAUGAAAAAUCCGGUGUGUUCUCGGUCAGGAGUGCAUACCGACUGGCGGUCUCGAUUCAAAACCGAGCUAGGGCCCCUGCCUCCAGCUCCGCAAACGAAGGGGAUGAUCGUAGUAUCUGGGACAUUAUUUGGAAGGCAAAGGUUCCUCAGAAAAUCAAGAUCUUUGGGUGGAGAGUAGCCACUUGCACUUUGGCUACAAAAAAGAAUAAAUGGAAGCGCACACUGGAAGUGAACAACACUUGCAACAUUUGCGGGAACGGCGAGGAAGAUGAAUUUCACGCAGUCAUUUCGUGCACCAAGAGUAAGGCACUAAGACAUGAAAUGAGAGCAAUCUGGGAGCUGCCUAGUGAGGAAAAAUUCAGAUUCACAGGUGAUGAUUGGCUACAGAUUCUCCUAAACCCAUGCAAGCCAGAGACUAGAACAAAAGUUUUACUGAUGUUGUGGCGAUGUUGGUUUCUUCGAGAUGAUUGCACCCAUAAUGCAGGGAAGGAGCUGGUAAGCCGAUCCGUUAUGUUCUUAAAGCAGUACGAGGAGGAACUAAUCUGCGGAGUCUUGGGAGAGGAAACUGAUAUAAAGGGUAAGCAGAAGGCGUUACAGGGCGGGCAUGCUCUGGCGAAGGGGAUUUCUCUGUUCCCUCUGUCAACAGGAAUAGAUGGACAAGAGGUGGGAGCCACGGUGGAUCCUACCACCAGCCAUUGGAGGCCCCCUGUGGCGGGAUCUGUCAAACUGAACACGGAUGCAGUGUUUUUAACCGGCAGCGGUGAUUCUCACUCGGGUGCAAUUGCGCGAGACCAGGGGGCCGUAUCAUCUUCUCGCUGUCUGAACAUGGCUUGCGCUGCAAGUCCGCUGAGGAAGCUGAAGCGCAAGCUUUUGCUGACCGGGCUGCAACACUUGUCCGACCUCUGUACGGGCCCAUUGAUCGCGGAAACAGACUGUAUGCACAUUGUGAACGAGCUCAGGUCGGGCGUCAGUAAUUUGUCUGCAUGUUACCCAGUACUCGCUGAUAUCAAGGUGGAGCUGGCAAAGUUUGCUGAUGCUCAGGUCCAACAUGUCAGCAGGAAUCAAAACAAAAUGGCUCAUCUACUGGCUGCCCGGGCUAGGAGAAUGGAUGGAAUGUACAUGGUAGCGGGUGUUCCGGAUGAUCUAAACGCUGCGCUAGUUGCUGACCUUGUGUUGGCUGAAGAGUAG